ensembl:snRNA LOC120097282 U2 spliceosomal RNA
AUCGCUUCUCGGCCUUUUGGCUAAGAUCAAGUGUAGUAUUUUUCAGAAAACUACUCCAGCCAAUGAAUGACUAAUUUUGAAAAUUAUUUUGCUGUGACCUCUAGUAAAGGACAAACUCAACAAUAUAAAGAUGUCAGAAAGGUUUAUAAUUGGUGAGAAGUU